AAAGAGAGUUCAAGAGAACGUGAAAUCGUUAUAGUGUAAGCGGAGAGAGUUGACGAAGCAUCUGUGGUGAAGGCUUUCGUGGUCGAUGUCCUAUUUGAUUGCGUUAGUUGGAUCUGCUUUAGAUGCGUUGGCAGGGUUGUCGGCAUUAGUUGAAGCGUGUAGCGUAGCCCACUUGGACGUACGUUUGAUGGUGUCUAGCUUACGUGGACAUUGAUUGCUACUGGUAGCCCACAUAGCUUUGCCCCUGCUUGCAGAGUGCCAACGUUGAAGUCGACCUCCUUUCUGACCCGUCUUGAAACACGGACCGAGGAGUGUAUUUAGUAUACGAGUCACAGGGUGUUGAAACCUUGAGGCGAAACGAAAGUGAUCUUACAUUUGAGUUGUUUUUGUCAAUUGACGGGCAAUGCAAUAUGGCCCUGUCUUGAAAGCAGAUUGCAGAGGUAGAGUGUACUGAGUGCGACCCGAAAGAUGGUGAACUAUGCUUGAGCAGGUCGAAGCCAGAGGAAACUCUGGUGGAAGACCGUAUCGGUUCUGACGUGCAAAUCGAUCGAUUGACUUGAGUAUAGGGGCGAAAGAC
rnacentral:rRNA from 1 species